AACGUAGGAGACAAACGUUAUCCGGAGUUACUGGGCGUAAAGGGCGUGUAGGUGGUAGAGUAAGUCUGGCGUGAAAUUUUUCGGCUUAACCGGGAAAGGUCGUCGGAUACUGCUUAACUAGAGGACGGUAGAGGCGUGUGGAAUUCCGGGUGUAGUGGUGAAAUGCGUAGAGAUCCGGAGGAACACCAGUGGCGAAGGCGACACGCUGGGCCGUACCUGACACUUAUGCGCGACAGCAUGGGGAGCAAACAGG
rnacentral:rRNA from 1 species